CAGUCGAACGGUAACAGGUCUUCGGAUGCUGACGAGUGGCGAACGGGUGAGUAAUACAUCGGAACGUGCCCGAUCGUGGGGGAUAACGGAGCGAAAGCUUUGCUAAUACCGCAUACGAUCUACGGAUGAAAGCAGGGGACCGCAAGGCCUUGCGCGGACGGAGCGGCCGAUGGCAGAUUAGGUAGUUGGUGGGAUAAAAGCUUACCAAGCCGACGAUCUGUAGCUGGUCUGAGAGGACGACCAGCCACACUGGGACUGAGACACGGCCCAGACUCCUACGGGAGGCAGCAGUGGGGAAUUUUGGACAAUGGGCGAAAGCCUGAUCCAGCCAUGCCGCGUGCAGGAUGAAGGCCUUCGGGUUGUAAACUGCUUUUGUACGGAACGAAAAGACUCCUUCUAAUAAAGGGGGUUCAUGACGGUACCGUAAGAAUAAGCACCGGCUAACUACGUGCUAGCAGCCGCGGUAAUACGUAGGGUGCAAGCGUUAAUCGGAAUUACUGGGCGUAAAGCGUGCGCAGGCGGUUAUAUAAGACAGAUGUGAAAUCCCCGGGCUCAACCUGGGAACUGCAUUUGUGACUGUAUAGCUAGAGUACGGCAGAUGGGGAUGGAAUUCCUCGUGUAGCAGUGAAAUGCGUAGAUAUGCGGAGGAACACCGAUGGCGAAGGCAAUCCCCUGGGCCUGUACUGACGCUCAUGCACGAAAUCGUGGGGAGCCAAACCGGGAUUAAGAUACC
rnacentral:rRNA from 1 species